AACGAACGCUGGCGGCAUGCCUAACACAUGCAAGUCGAACGAGAAAUUCGGGACUAGUGGCGCACGGGUGCGUAACGCGGGGGAACCUGCCCUUAGGAUCGGAAUAACUCCCCGAAAGGGGUUGUAAUACCGGAAAAUGUCUUCGGACCAAAGAUUUAUCGCCAUUGGAUGGGCCCGCGUUGGAUUAGCUAGUUGGUAGGGUAAAAGCCAACCAAGGCGACGAUCCAUGGCUAGUCGGAGAGGAUGAUCAGUCACACUGGGACUGAGCAAAGGCCCAGACUCCUACGAGAGGCAGCAGUGGGGAAUAGUGGACACUGGGCGAAGGCCUGAUCCAGCAAUGCCGCGUGAGUGAUGAAGGCCUUAGAGUUGUAAAGCUCUUUUUCCUGAGAUCAUAAUGACAGUACCGGGAUAAUAAGCUCCGGCUAACUCCGUG
rnacentral:rRNA from 1 species